UGGGGAAUCUUGCACAAUGGGGGAAACCCUGAUGCAGCGACGCCGCGUGAGCGAUGAAGGUUUUCGAAUCGUAAAGCUCUGUCCUAUGGGAAGAUAAUGACGGUACCAUGGGAGGAAGCCCCGGCUAACUACGUGCCAGCAGCCGCGGUAAUACGUAGGGGGCGAGCGUUGUCCGGAAUUACUGGGCGUAAAGGGUUCGCAGGCGGCAUGGCAAGUCCGAUGUAAAAGGCGAAGGCUCAACCUUCGUAAGCAUCGGAAACUGUCAAGCUUGAGUGAAGGAGAGGCAAGUGGAAUUCCUAGUGUAGCGGUGAAAUGCGUAGAUAUUAGGAGGAAUACCAGUGGCGAAGGCGACUUGCUGGACUUCAACUGACGCUGAGGAACGAAAGCGUGGGUAGCAAACAGG
rnacentral:rRNA from 1 species